rnacentral:lncRNA from 1 species
UCUCCGCCAGUGCUCUGUGGCUUUGCCCUACCCCCUGCUCUCUCUCACUCACUCUCUUUCUCUCUCUUUCUAACCCUGAAAUAGAGGAAGCAGAAACAGCAGAGGAGUUUAAUGUCUACCACCCACCGCCUCUGAACUCUCUCUCUCUCUCUCUUUCUCUCUAUCUGAGAGACUGGACCUUGUUGUCUCUCUAACUUUCUCUGCUCAGAGGGCUCAGACCCCCUUUGUUUUCUCUCAUUUUCUCUCUCUGUUUGCUUGGGGAAAGACCCAAAAGAGGCAACGGGGGGGAACCUUUUGUGCGGGACGCUUUAUGUAAUUCGUUUUCUUCAGUCUUCGGUUCUUCUUCUUCUCCUUAUUCAAGUCUAUCCGCACACCACCCUUUUUAUCUUUCCCAUCAUUGUACCCUUGUUCUUGUUUCACUCGAGUUGGAGAUAUGAGCAAGGAGGAGUUUUUGAAGAUCCAGGUACGAAACCAUUUUUCUUCCUUUUAUUUAUUUUCCCAUUUGUUCUUAUCUUCCACUACUUUGCUUCUUUCCAACUCAAGAUCUCGAGUGCUCUCUCCUUUUCUGGUUUCUCUCUUUCUACCCCUCUUAUGCAUCCCCAUUAUUUCCUCUAUGUUUGGAUACUUCCCAGAAGUUUUGGGUGUUUCUUCCCUUCACUCUGAAUGAGGACUCUAAUUUCUUUUUUGCGCAUGCAGACCUGUGUGCUGAAGGUGAACAUUCACUGUGACGGGUGCAAGCACAAGGUCAAGAAAAUCUUACAUAAAAUUGAAGGUAAUUCCUUGUUUUGAGACCUUUAUUUUUCAAGAGAUUUUUUCUCUUAGGAUACAGAUUUACAUUUACCAUUAAUUCGCCCUAGUGUGUGUUUCCUUGUUUUCUUGUGUGGCCGUUUCAUUUUCAGUAUUCUUGGUUGAUUCUUUUCGUUUCACAAUUUGUCUUGUAGGGGUUUACACAACCAAAAUAGAUGCAGAUCUGGGGAAGGUGACAGUUUCAGGAAAUGUAGACGCGGCCACGCUGAUGAAAAAGCUAAACAAAGCUGGAAAACAUGCCGAGCUCUGGGGUGCUCCGAAGGCCAACAACCAAAACCAACUGAAUAACCAGUUGAAGAACUUGCAACUUGAUAAUGGCGGCAAAGGUGGGGGCAAAAAGGGCGGAAACAACAACGGCGGCAACCAGCCUAAAGGAGGACAUCCCAACCCACAGCAGCAGCUUCAGCAACUCCAGCAGCAGAUGAAAGGCUUCCAAGAUCUGAAGCUGCCCCCCUUGGGUCAGGCUCCCAAAACCGUCAAGUUCAGCUUGCCUGAGGAUGAUGGUAUGAGUGAUGAAUUUGAUGAUGAGUUCGAUGAAGAGGAUUUAGAAGAUGAUGAGUUUUACGAUGAGUUGGACGAUAUUCCCCAUCAGCUUCCCAACAAAAUGAAACCGAAUGCGGUUAAUGGGCAGGGGACUCAGAUGCCCAACCUCAUGAUGUUGAAUGGUAUGAUGAACGCCCAGCAGAUGAUGAAUGCCCAGGCCAUGAUGAAUGACAAGAAGGCUGGUGGUAAUGUUGGGAACGGUAAGAAGGGUGGCGGUGGCGGUGCUGUGCCAAUUCAGAUAAAUGGCAAUGAUGGGAAAAAUGGUGGAAAGAAAGGCGGUGGCGGAGGUAAUAAUAACGGAGGGAAUCAAAAUCAAGGUGGUAUCGGCGGCGGUGCUAAGAAUGGUGGCAAAAAUGGCGGUGGGGCGCCAUCGGAGGGUAAAAAUGGUAACAACGCUGGCGGUGGGAACAAUAAGAUCGGUAAUAAUGGCGGCGGUGGUAACGGUAACGGUGGUAAGAAAGGCGGAGCCGCGAAUGAUGUUCAUGCCAUUAACAACAUGCCCAAUGCGAUGCAUAACAUGGCUGCCAUUCGGGGCCUUGGCGGAGGGAAUAUGGGCCAGAUGCCCAUGGGCCCCAUGGGGAACAUGCCCAUGGGCCAGAUGGGCAACAUGUCCAUGGCCCAAAUGGGUAAUAACAUGCCUGCAGUGCAGGGCCUACCAGCCGGCGCCAUAAACGCCGGUGGUGCCGGCGGCGGCGCCCCCCCUGGUUACGGCGGCGGCGUCCCCCCUGGUUACUUCCAAGGAGCCGGCCCGGAAGUGAUGGCUGGAAACCCCUACUACCAGCAGCAACUGGCUGCCAUGAUGAUGAACCAGCAACGCGCACAUGGCAACGAGCGGUUCCAGCCCAUGAUGUAUGCUCGCCCCCCUCCUGCAGUCAAUUACUUGCCCCCAUACCCACCUCAGCCCGACCCCUACACCCAUUUCUUCAGUGACGAGAACACCUCGAGCUGCAAUGUCAUGUGAAAUCCCUGGAUUUCCCCUGCUCCGACAUGUUUUGUUAAGGUCACAGCGGGUGGCGGUGGCAGCUGCCCAGUUACAGCAAAAGGAACUCCCGUCUCAUGCCAUGCACACAUUCUGGAGAUGGGUUCAUUUUUAGUUGAAUUAUCUUCUCUUUUUCCUUUCUUUUUCCUUUUUUUUUUUAAUCCCUUAAUUUUCCUUCUCAUCCUGAGUUGAAUUAGGGUUUUAAUUAUGAAUAGGGGGAGUAUUUAUAGAUAAUAUAUUAAAGUUUUAGAGGAGUCUGAGAUGUAAGUGGGAGACGGACGGUGGUGGGGCUUUCUCAUGGGGAGAUGUUUAUAUGGUGUUUAUAUGUUGAAAACAAAAAUAAGAUGGAAAAGGAGAAAUGGGAAUUUAAAACAAAAGCCCAUCUCUCUGCCCGUUUCUCUCCCAAGUAGUCCCCAACACUCUUUACUUGCUAUUCUUCUCUCCUUUCUCUUUCACACCCGCGUGUAUGUUAUGAUUGGGAAUGGUGUGUGUGAUGCCAAAACUGUGGGUUCACGCAAUGAAUUGAGUUAUUGGAUGGGGGGUUGGACCCACCACCGCCUUGUUGUAUUGAGAAAGCAGCAUAGCCCGCCAUGUUGGUGGGUUGUAUUAUUUGGUGUUGGGGCUGGGUCUGGGUCUGGGUUCCUAGCCAAAACAUAUCAGGAGAGGAACCGGAGAACGUGUUGACAAGGACCAGCUAACUACUUUAUUUCGAAAAUCUAACGGCGUUGACACUUUGACACGAAUUUUGGUAAGCGACUAGUCUAAUCAAUGGAAAGGGAGGACCGAGGAGCCAUCAUCAAGUGAGAGUGUGAGAGAGAACUCAGAAAAGUGUGGGGGGAUUCACUCCAUCUAUAAUGGAUCAUCAUCAUGAUAAUUGCCUCAUCAAGCUCCAGCCAUCUGUCUAAUCAGGACAGUGAUGGUUGAGGGUCCCUGUACUUUUCCUAAAAGUACUCGUCUGUUUUCUUUUAUUCGUUUGUGAGAAGCAUUGGAUCCUAUCUCCGUAGUUGGGAUGAUAUGAAAUAAUAUGCUUUAACCGCAUCGUGAGCCCCAUGGGCAUUAAACAGACAAGUAGUAGUAAGGCUUAUGUAUUUGCUUACGACAACUUUGUGUUUCUUUCAGAACACGGGUAUGCACGGGGGCUGUGGCCUGACCCAACAAUUAAUGGAGGCCUCAGCUCGAGAUCCUAAAACUUGGAAGGUGUUUGGACUACAACUUCAUCUUGCACACAUCCUCUCCCAAACACUCCCAAUCUCGCCAGGCCAUGCAUGGGGGACACGUGGAGACUGAGGGGGAGGGAGUGUGAAGGUUAGGUGUGGAGUCACGUGGAGGGUGCAUGGGGAUGAGAGGAGGAAGUUGUGGGGGUCGUUUGGACGGAAGCGAGAGGGUGCCGGGGCCCUCACAUUCACCAGCCACCCUUCACACCAUCACACCCAUGUAUCUCGUAAUAAAUGUGAAAUGUUGUCACAGAAUUUUCCACUUCUUAGUUAUGAAAAUCGCAUAAAUCCAAGCCCGUUUUGGGGGAGAAGGACGAGAUUGGUUUGAGCUUUUAAGAGGGCGGGGGAGGUGGGUACUGUGGACUGGCAAGGUCGCUCAAAUUCAAUCAUGACCAACACGACACACUCACUUUUUCUUUCUUUUCGCCUUCUGCAUAGUAUUUUUUAAACCAAAAAAAAUUAUUUAGACUGAGAUUGACAUUCUGAACAUCACGUGGGCCCUCCCAUCAUUACAAGUAAUUAAAUUCUAUCUCUAAUACAUAGGGUUUUAAUCAAGUGUAAUAAAAAGAUACAAAGAGGGGCAUUUAAGUAAAAUAGCCCCGAAUAAUGGGUACAAACAGUCUGGUAGCCGAGAUGAGUUAAGGACCCAAUGGGCAAGGUUGUUGAGUCUCAUCAGCAGAAUGGUCCAUUCUCACCGGGCCCCGCAACUCCCCUCAAAUUGUCGCACAAAGGACAAGCUCCUUUUCCUAUUUACCAAAACGCCACUGACGGACCCAGCAAACGGCGAUUAAUCCCAUAAUUACUCCUCAAUUAAAAGGCGUUCAACGUAAUUAUGUUUAAUUAAAAUCAUCAUUGUUCCGUACCAUUCAAACUUUGAAUAAAUCCACCGGCAACCAUCGAACGGCGGAAAUGUCUCCAUUCUCUCUAAUUUAUUUUUUGUUGUCUUCACUAUUCACAGCUCAUACACAUCCGUACUCCAUGCCUGUGACUUCCCUAAAUUACAAAAUUAUCCUUAGUGGACCAAACUAAUACCCAAAUUUGUACUUGCAUGAGAUCAUAAAGUCCGAGAACAUCAUGAUUUAUCGACCAUUACCAUAAAUUAAUUUUUAUGUCAUAAACUAUAGGGUAAUUUAAGUUUAAAAUUAUGAUAAUAAGACUACAACUAUAGGUUAUAAAAUUAAAUUCUAUGAGCCCCUCCUCAUUCAUGACGGGGGUCCCUCCCUUUUGGUGCUAAGUUUUAUUAGGGUUUUUAGGGCACAUAUCCCACCAACAUCCACAUAAGGCCCAAAUCCAAGAUUUGAAGUCCCAAAAGGUCUUGUGUUUUUCCCCUUGAAGACACCUUUAGAUGUAAAUAUUGUAGGGUGGAAUCUUAUUAUAAGGACUAUGGAAGUGAAAGAAGAUGGCUAGACUCGAAGAUGAUGAUACUCCCAAUCCAAGUGGGACAAACGCACCCAAAAAAAUAUUGGAGCACGAAGUUAUUGGUUCUAAUUGUUGACAAGCUCGAAACUCUAAUCAUCAAAAGUAACCAAAAUUUCCCUUGGAUUAGCCCUAGUGGAUGUUCCACCAUCCAUCCACUUACUAGGGACCAAAUAAACUCAUAUUUUACUUUGAUUUUCUUUGCUUCACUUGUCCUUUCAAAGGUGAGUGAUAAAAAUAGUCUCAACCACUAUAUUAGUACAAGCACCCAAUGUCCUCUUGCACCAAGGACUUAGACCUAUUUGUGCUCAAGCAUCAAUGGUUUCGAAUUUCUAUCCCUCUUUUUAAAAAUUUUUAGAUCAUAAUAUCAUUUUAGUUCAAAGGUUUUAUGAUGGUUCUAGUCUAGUUUUUAGUUACACCAACAUUUCAUCCUUAGAAUUAUGGAUAAAAAAACAUUGAUUGAUAUGGCCUACUUCCGUACAUUGAAUCACUUAAUAUUAGGAUACUUACGAUAUGGUUGUUAAGGUUUUGAAUGCCUUUUUAUAAUAUCUAUGAAUUUUAUUAAAAAAUAAAUAAUAAUCAUCUUUAAAUUCAAGCUUUAUAAUAUUUUAAAAAAAAAUUGACCUUUAAAUUAUAAACUUUAUAUUAUAAAUAUUGAGUAGCAUGAUAUGCAUAUUGAGCCUAAAUCCUAUAAGAUUAAACUUUUAGAAAAAUUGAUAAUUUAACAUAAUUUCAAAACUUGAUUUAACAUUAGGUCUCGGGUUCGGCCUCCUCUUCAUAAUUUGCAUUUCCUUUUUCUAUUUGAAGCUAAUUUUCAAAUAUCAUAUCAUGAUAAGUUAAUAAAAUUAGGAAUAUUAAUUUUUUAUUACAAAAAUCUAUCUCAAAAGACUAUUUUGAGCUGCAGUGAGUAACCCUAGAAAUACUUUAUAACACCUUGAAAGCCCUUUACCAUGCAAUUAAAUACUUUAUAAAAAAAAUGUAUGUAUGAGGAAAAAGCUCGAAGUAGUUAAAAAAAAGAGAUGCAAAAAGGUCAAAAUUUGGAUGGAAGGCUUUAAGACCUGAACACACAAACCGGAGAUAACCCCACUUGCAAAAAAGCACCAUAAUGUCCAAAAACAAACUGUGCAGGGCGUUGAAAGGGCCUACCACAAUGGGGUUGGGUAAUUUAGGGUAGGCCAUGUCCAUGAAAGUUGAUCACACAGAGAGACUUAAAGUCACUUACAUGUAUAUUUGAUAUUUGAUGAUGAUGAUGAUGAUUCAUUGGGUGGAGUGAAACUUGAGUCCUAAGCAUUUGAAUUCUUCACCUGGCUUUUCAAAUCAUAGACAUGAAUAAAUAAUAUCAUGAAAGUGAAUGAUCUUCAAUUAUUGCGUCAAAUACAUUACACAUGGAUUUAAAAAAGUUGAUUUGAUGUUCUACAAGCUAAACCAUACUGAUUUGUCGCGCAUAUCUUGGAAUUAACCAAUUGUGGUACAAAAACAAACGUGGUAUUAUUUUAUUUUCAUCCACUUAUCCUCCAAAAUCGUAUCAGGAUAAUGGCAGCAACCCUGGGCUAUAUAGCUGAGACUCACGUAGAGGACCCAUUUCUUUGUUGGGUGAUGAAUCCAAAAUGGAGUGGGAGAGGGCACGAGGCCACACACUACUUCACUUUGUGCUACACAAGAUCUGCAUCACAUGGCAGAUAUAUAGCUGGAAUUUUGACCCCAUGAAGAGCCCUUUUCUCCCCAUGACUUGACAUUUUUGGUGCACGUCUUCUUCAUUCCUUUUAUAUAUUACUUGUGUGUAGCCCUGGGAGUGGAAGUUGUCCACGUUUACUAUUCGUUUGAAAAUCGAAAGUGAAACUUUAAAAAGUGGAGCCUGCACCAUUCUCUACGCAUGAAAGGCCUAGGGAACCUUUUGUCAAACACUUGCUGCUCAUUUGUUUUCUUUUGGAUUCAAAUUCAACCCACCCUCAAAUUGUAUGAAAAUGCCAGGAUUUUGUAUUGUUUAUAUGAUUUUUGAAGUGGGUAUUGUGUUUGAAUAUGAGGGUUUUUCUUCUUUUUUUACGUAUAUUAUUAUUUUGUUAUGGAUUAGGAGAGGACUAAAUAGAAGGUGAUGUGCAAUUGAGUUGAUGAUGGGAAUUAUUUAUAUCAUAUGUUUAAAAUACAUUACCUGAAAGGUUAAAGUCAAAAUAUGGCAUCACUGCAUGUGAUUUUAUAAUAGCAACAACUCAAGAACUGAGAAAUUAGGCAAGAAGCAGCAAUCCCAUAACAGGGUAUUGGCAGACAACAAAGCAGCAAGUCAAAAGCAAUACGAAAACUGAGUUACUCCUCAAUUCGAUAAAGUCCAACCAGCCAGUGGGUCUACGGUUUAAAGCUUGGAGCCCAUUCCAUGUCUCCACAAACUGAUAUGAAGACUACACAGCGUGGCAUACAAACACUGAAUUAUUUCUUAGAUUCUUCUUAUACACUCACACACACUCUAGUCUUAGCUUGAAAAGACAAAGAAAAAUGAUAAUAUAACUACAGAUUAAUUGAACAAACUGAAGCAUGAACUUUGAAGAUGGGCUGUCAUAUCUCGUGUAGAUCCCCCAUUGCCAUCCCUACACACGAUAUGGGUUAAAACUCAGAAGACCCUUGUUGUCUGCUGUGUCUAUGCCAAGAAGAAAUUAAAAAAAAAAAAAAAAGAUUGAAAUCUUGGGUGUUGAAGGGGACGAGGGAAAGGGACAGAGGGGCAUCAUGAUAUUGAGUGCCUUUGUCUGAAGCGUUUGGCAUCAGUCACCUGGAAGAAUGGAGAGGUGUUCGGGGGAGAUACCAGCCAGAUACGAUAGUAGUGUGUCUUUGACUGUGGCUUAAUAAAAUGAGUAGUUAGGCAAAAGACAAUGGGCAGCUACGAAUGGAGAGGAAGAUUAUUAAUAAAUAUAAUAUAAAUAGAAAGACAGAUAGGACUAGUGCUACAGAGAAUGAUUGCUUUCGAGUUGUCUGAAACUUUGAUUAAGCUCAAAGAAAUAUCAAAAAGCUGUGGAUUAUAAGCUGUUCAUUUGAUGACUUUUCAGUUAUGUAUGUUCAUUCACGUGGGUCUUGGAUUUUGGGAGAUGCCUAAUGCCUUGUUACAAUCAUUACUUUGUUAAAAGAUUCUGACCCUGUGACCAUCUUCCCCAAGUUUGGAAUCACCAUUAACACUACACUUCUUUAGUUUAAUCAAAAUAAAGGAAGAGACCAUUUCCUCCUCCAAACCCAAAACAAAAAUAUUAUCAUUGGUUAACGGGACUUGGAUUUUGGGAAGUUUGGAGAAAAGUGUGAAGGUUUUCAAAAGUUGACAGGUGGAAAAGGAAAAGAAAACAAUACAAGCUAAGAAGAGAAAUAAUGAAGAAAUAAAGGGAAAAGCCUCUUUUAGUAUUCCUAUUUGAAAAUACAUGUAAAAUGUAAUUCAUUACUAUCUUUUAGGCUAUAUUUGUUAAGAAGAAAAUAUAAAAGAGGAAAUAAAAUUAAAGAAUAUAUUCAAAAUCAAUAAAUUAUUUUUAUUUAUUAUAUAAAAAUUAUAUAAAUUUAAAAUGUAUAAAUUUUCAACUAAUUAUAAUUAUAUUUAAUUUUUUAUAUAUUUUUCACCAUAAAAACAAAUAUAGAAAAAUUAUUUUUAAUUUUUUUUUCUUAAUACUUUUUGAGUUUUAACUUAAAAACACAUGAAAUAUAAAUUAUUUUUAAAUGUUGGUAUUUAAUAUUUUUUUUCAAACUUCUACUACAAAACACACUUUUUGUUGAAAUAAAAUAGAAGGUAAGCUCAAGCUCUAUAUAUAUAUAUAUAAAUAAAAAUUAUUAAGACUUUUAAAAUUGGAAGGUCACGUGGACAUGUGAGGCCCACGUGAUAACAUGGACUUACAUUAUGAAUAUUCAAUACUUCCAUAAUAUAUUAAUAUCAUCUUGGAUAAUGUAGAAUAAAUAAAGGUAAUUUAAAUAAUCUGAUUAUCAAUGUAUAUAUGAUUUAAUUAUUGAAAAUUUUGCUUUUAAAAAUAUUGGCUUCAAUUUUAUUUCAAAGAAAUUAUAAUUAUUUGAAAGAAAAUUUAAUUUUCUUGAUACAAAAUGAUUACAAGAAAAAAGAUCGAGACAAAAAAAAUAUUAUAAUAUAUUAAACCUAAUUAUUUAUAGGGUAUCAUUUUAUCAACAUUUUAUAUAAGAUUUUGACUUUUUAGUUGAUAUUCGGAUUGCUUAUUUAUGAAUAAGAGAAUAUUCAUUAGAUCUUAAUUUACAUCAAACAAGCCGAUUACAUUAAAAGCAAGCAAUCUAGAAAUCUUUUAUCGUAAUUUUUUUUUUUUUGUUUUUUGGAUCAUAAAUGCACUUCAUUACCUAGUAAUUAAUUAGCUCUAUUGAAAGGAUAAAAAAAUUUCUAGUAGUUGGAAAAUAUUUCGAGAGAUUUAAAUGUCCAUGAAAAGUGACUUAAUUGGAAAAUGAAAUCUUGGAAAAGGGUGUAGGAAUAUUAUAUAUCACAAAAAUAGUUGUCUUGAUGUCGGCAUUCUCAACCAGAUGGAGACAAGCAUCAUGGGUGUCUCUGAAAGCAACCACUCCAUCAUGGAAUAAACAAAAAAAUGAGAGGGGACGAGAGAGCUAAGUUUCUUGAUUCAUAAUAAUUAGGAGCCACCUUGCUCAAUCCAGUUCUCACUUGGAAUUUUGUGAAAAUUAUUUUUAAGAUUAAUAUGAGUUUUUAUAUAUGUUUUGCUUAUUUUAUCAAAAAAGAAAAAAAUAAUAAUUUAUUAAUAAAUCAAUUUAAUAAUUUAAAAUGACUUAAUAACUUAAUUUAAGUCAUUAAAUAUAUUUAGUAAAAUGACUUAAUGGUAAGACUUAAAGUUAAAAAUAAUUAAUUUAAUUUUAAAUUCAUAUUUUUUUCCUAUCUAUGUUGGUUACUUCCACGAUCUCUUCUAUUACUUUACAACCUUAAGUGUUAAUUCAAUUUUUCUAUCAUAAUUAUAAUUUAUAAGGAUAAAUAUGUUAAUUUGAUUAUUUAAAAUAAGUUUUAAGUUAAUUUUAAUAUUUAUAUAAAUAAUUAAGUAAUAAUUUUGAAAUCAACAACUUAAAUAUAAUUUAACUUAAAGUUAAUUUAAGUUAUGAAAUAAUAAUGAUUAAAUUUUACCUGACAUUUUCUUAAAAAAGAACUUAAUAUGGAAAAUAAAAAUAAAUAAAUUUUAAUAGAAAUUCUAUUUUGAUUUUCAUAAAAAAUUCUUUCAUGUUAAAAUUUUUUUAUAAUACAAUAUCAUUCUUAAAAAAUUUUGACUUUGACUUCAACUUUAAUUUUGGAUUAAAACUAAAAAUAGAAGUUGGCAAACUGUUCCAAAGCAUGGGCUUUUUGGCCCAAACCAAACUUGCAGGCCUUGCCAUCUAGCCCAAUGGUUAAUGGGCUACCAAAUUGUUCCUUAUUUACUUGAGAUAUUUUGAUGGUGACUCUCCAUAAUUGGAAUUUGGACUAAACAAGAAGAUUAGAUGAUUGAUUGUCAUGUAUGUGGGCAUGUGAAAAAGACAAUUUUGUAAGGUGGGAUGGGGGGGAGGCCGACAUUGCGGAAGACUACAGACCAAAAACAAAUGUGGGAGGUCGACAUGGUGGGACACUAUUUAUGCGAUGCUCCAUAGUGUGAGACAACAGUCCUCAUAAUAUGAUGAUACAAAGAACAAGUGGUUUUGGUGGCCACUAAUCAAUAUAUAUAUAUAUAUUAUUUAUAAGCAUUAUUGUUAUUUUUAUUACUGUCCAAAAGUAAGGAAGUAGUGGAUACUAUAAAAUAAAUUCACCAUCGGCAAAUACUAGCGGAUCCAGGCAAGACAGCUGCCCCCAACUUCAAAUUUUAAAGAAAUUAGCUCCCUUACCACUAGGUUACUUAAAUAAUUUGAUGUUAUUCUGUACUCUUGAUAUAAGUUUCAUAUAUUGCCCCCCUCAAUCUCUUCCUAGCUUUGUUUCUGAUUGCAAAUCUCGUUGAUUUUUGUGUAAUAAUUCAUGAUGAAAAAUUAUAAAGAAAAAAAGAAAAGAAAAUUCACAAAUUUAACGUGGUUUGACAGAUUAUUUACGUCACGAGAACAUGAAAAAAAUACUUUUAUUAUAUUACAAAUUAAAAUUACAUAAAAAAAUAUUUAUACUAACCUUCAUAUAAUGAAAUUUCAAAAAUAUUCCCGAAUGUUGCCCCCUCCCUCCAAUCUAUCGUACAUCUUGAACAAUAAAAAUAUAAACUUGAAUAGUAAAUAUCGUUGCUCUAUUUUAACAUUUACCCUUUUUUUUUUAUAUAUCUUUCACUCAAUAUGAGUGACCAGUAUAACAAAUCCACUUAUUAUAACUAUUGAAUUAAUAAUGAUUUGAUUAAAAAAUACAAAAGACCUGUUGAGAACAUGAACUGAAAUUUCACAAAAAAAUUGACAAAAAAAAAAAAAAAAAAAAAGGAAAAGGGGGAAAGGUGACUUGGUCAAUAGAGUAGGAGAAACAUGGUUGUCAGCUCCCAAAGUAAAUAUAACCAGUUACCUAUAAAUUGAGAGAUGGCAUGCUGUGUCAUUUUCACCGGAAAACCAGGCAUAGUAUAAUAGAUUAAAGCCAUAAAUUAUUAUGGCAAAGGUGAUUUCAGUGCGCCCUCCAUUACUCCGCAGCGAUUAUUGAUGACUUUGGAUGAAUUCUAGAACAUGAAUUAUUUAUAGUUAUUUAUGCGUAUCAAUAAUGGAGGGAAAAAGACAGCAUACUCCACAAUUCCAUUGCAAAAUAUUCACAUCCUUAUCCAAAAAUUAUGGCAUGCCAUAUCUAUCGGACCUCAUCCAAAUAGCCCUUUGAUGUGUUAAAUCUAUCAGCUCCAAUGAUAUCUACGUAGAAGUUGUUGGCUCACUCCUGAAUAUGGUUAAUAAUAGAAAAAUAGGAAUAGAGAGUCCAGUGUGUUCAACCAAUAGGCCUUGGAAUCCGUGGUGGAGUAGCCAAGCAUUGUCAAUUAAUUGGGCCAUGCACUGCAACCUACUUCCUCCUAAGGUUGUUUUCCGCCAUAAAAAAAGUUGGGUUUUAAAGAUGAAGUGCAUGAUUGAUUUAUUGGUGGAUAAACAAAUAAUAUAGAAUGAUGCAAGUCAAAAAAGGGUGUGCGUUUCCUAGGAGAAUUCUACAUUCAAAGCUCAACCUUCAAGACAUUAGCAGAAGUAAUCACAUGGGAGGCAUGAUGGGGGGCACUGGCUGAACCGGUGCCGAGCCAUGCCAAUCCAACACACUCCUCUGCCUCACGCACCCUUGUCAGUACUCGGUCGCCCGUCUCCCCCCCCCCCCCCCCCAUAUUCCUAUGUGUUAAGAAGGGACCCCCUGGUAUUUCCCCCUGCCCUUAAAAAACUUUGAAAGGGGGGAGUGGCUUUCUGGGUAUUUGAAAAAANNNNNNNNNNNNNNNNNNNNNNNNNNNNNNNNNNNNNNNNNNNNNNNNNNNNNNNNNNNNNNNNNNNNNNNNNNNNNNNNNNNNNNNNNNNNNNNNNNNNAAAAAAAGUGGGGUUUAAAACGGGAAGCCCAG